rnacentral:miRNA from 1 species
AGCCCCACCUCCUUCUCCUCUCAGGGAAGCUUUUUGCUCGAAUUAUGUUUCUCAUUCAAAUAUAAGACGAACAAAAGGUUUGUCUGAGGGCAGAGUGUUUUCGCCUGGGGCA